CCUGGAGGCGGGUGAAUGUGCAUGUAGGCGGGAGUUACUGUCGCUGUCCUGGCGAGUAUUACGAAUCGUUGAGUGUGUGGCCGCCCUGUGACCCACAUUAGCAUCGCAUGCAUAGCAUGAGUGUGCAGUCGUUGUUAGGGCGCCGCUGUCGCGCUGUGUCGUGACGUCACCAAGUGUGAUCAAAUGUCAAGUCACUUACAGACAAACUGCUCCAGACACACCAAAUAUGCUAAGGUAGGUGCGGGUAGGUUCCAGAAUCGAUCUUGCUAGGGAUCGGGAUGAAAUCCGUCUUAGACCGUAAGAGGUUGGAUGGGCCCCCAUACCGUUGGACGUUGAUGGACCCGGUAAUAGCGACACACCUGCGAGCCGACCGGGAAUGGAGGUGUGCCGCCCUUGAUCUGGGGGCAGAUUCCACUGGAUGAUGCGCCGGUGUCGGGUGCUGAACUCGGAGAAGUCGGCACACGUGGGUGGAAAGGAUGAGGGCGUCCCAAGCAUCGCGGGGAAGGCAGGGUGACUGCCAGCAGGCUACAGUGGCCGCGGGUUAAGCUAUACCCCCUACUUCGCACAAUCAGACAAACACUCACCGGCAAAAAUAGACUACUACGGUAGGACAAGGUGGCAAGGGUUCCCUGCCAUCUGCUUGUUAGUUUUUAUGAUACGAGGAUUUGUAUGUCUGUAGAUGUGUUUUGCAGUACAGUUGCAUGUACGACCGCCGAAAAGGCGGGUUACUCAUGUCCACGAUGGUUUGUACUGCUGCUGUAGUAGUUGCGGUUGUGGGUCUGGUCGGCUGCCCGCUGCAAGAAAGAAAGCGGGGGAGGGAAGCGAGCGUGAUGAUGGAAAGAUCGGGUGCAGGGGAAAGAAGUAAAAGUGACGUUACUGCUAUUGAGCAUUCCACUGAUUACCCUGUCCUGGUCGUACACCACAAGAGGUGGGAUGCAGGAGUGCGCUGUGGAAUGUGAAGGGUGGAGGAAUUCCUGGGGCUUCGCUUCCAUGCUCCAUUU
rnacentral:lncRNA from 1 species